rnacentral:misc_RNA from 1 species
AUUGAAGAACAUGACUUUAAUACUAAAUUACGCAAUGCUCAUAAAUUCCUUAAAAAGGGCGAUAAGGUUAAAGUAAGCGUUCGUUUCCGCGGUCGUGCGAUUACGCAUAAAGAGUUAGGUCAACAAGUUUUAGAACGUUUCGCUGAUCAGUGUAGUGAAUUAGCGAAUCUUGAAACGAAGCCUAAAAUGGAAGGCCGUAAUAUGUUUAUGAUGCUUGCUCCUAAAGCGGAGAAGUAAAAGUUAUUACAGAAGGAGGACUUUACGAUGCCAAAAAUGAAGUCGCAUAAAGGUUCACAAAAGCGUUUUAAGAAAACAGGAACUGGAAAAUUCAAACGUUCA